UCCAUCUCCUGAGUCCCAGGCCACAAAGAACUAGAUACCACUCCUGGUCACAGUAGAGCCAGAUUACUUGCUGUCCUCUCCAAAGAGCAUUUUACAAUGAAGAGAAGGCUGAAUGGAGUGGUGAGUACCAGCCUAAGCGUUUGCAGGCAUGACCUCUUUCUUCUGACUUUGUGACUCCUUGCCUUGGAUCCUUGCCAUUUUGCCUUCCUCGGCUGCCUCCUAAUGCUUCCCAGUUCCUCAUAUUUCCCUAAUAAUAUCUGACUCAUAGCUGGCUCUCUGGAGAGUUUGAAGUGCGUUUUAUAUUGAGUGCCUGCAUUGGUCGCCUCUGUGAAAUAAGUUAGUUGGGGGCUUUGCACUAUUGGAUCAUUUGUUUUUAUGUUGGGCCACCUUUGAGGGCAUUGGCUAUACUGAUAUUUGAAUUUUCUUUUUCCUCUGUGAUGUCUGGUUUCAGCCUUCUUGUGAUACCUCAGGGUAUAUCUCCCUUACAUGUGUUUUGAC
rnacentral:lncRNA from 1 species